UACAGAGGGCUCAAGCGUUGUUCGGAUUCAUUGGGCGUAAAGGGUGCGUAGGCGGCGCGGUAAGUCCGCUGUGAAAGCCGGGGGCUCAACCCUCGAAUGCCGGUGGAUACUGUCGGGCUAGAGUGCGGAAGAGGCGAGUGGAAUUCCUGGUGUAGCGGUGAAAUGCGCAGAUAUCAGGAGGAACACCUAUUGCGAAGGCAGCUCGCUGGGACGUUACUGACGCUGAGACGCGAAAGCGUGGGGAGCAAACAGG
rnacentral:rRNA from 1 species